AUUUUGCCAUAAAUACGCGCGCGUGCAACGUCGCAAACUCUUUGCAUUCAUGACCGCUGGCAGCGUGACAACAACGGUACCAAACACACCCGAGCAACUGUGGCGGCAGCGCAACUAACUGCAUUUGACUUGGAGGCAGGUCCAGGCAAAUGAUGAAAACUAUCCGCGCAACUGGUCAACCGUUCAAACGCUGUUGAAACGCGAACUUGAGCGGGCGCGCUUCGCAAAGUUUUUUCGCCAAACACACACACACACCCUUACAUAUAUCGUUACAUAUGGCAUGCGUUCGCGGGUGCAAAGUGUUUGAAUUUGCAUAAUGUGUUGAGAGAUCUGUGUUUAUUCGUGAGAAAAUACAUAUUCGUUGGUGCGUUGCCACCGCCUGACUUGCGUGCAAACUGUGAUUGCCGUUGAGACGCGCGCCUACUUGCCCGCCUGUCAGCAGUUGAACUCAUACAUUUGCCGUUACUCGUGUGAUUACUUUGGAAGCGUUGUGUCGCAUUCGCGGUCGUCAAGUCAAGCGCAUUUAUUCAUUCAAUAUUAUUGUGAUUUGCAUGCAGUCGCUAGAGAAUAAUAACAAUAAAAGCGCAUAAAAUCGCUAAGAAAAUGUGCAGUGCGCACACACUUGUGGCUAAACUAAAAAUAAAAAGCAAUCAAUAAGCAAAUAAACAGUGGAAAUUUUAUUAGUGCUAAAGCGAGUGGAAAAAGUGCCAAAUAAACAUUUAAAAUAAACGCCGAAGCGGCAAAAAUACGGAUUUCCGCAAAGCGCGCACUUCAAAGGCUGUUCAAAAUUAUGGCGCCGGCGAAUUCCUCGUCUGAAGCAAGCAGCUGGACAACCAUGCCACCAACAUCUGCGUAUACAAGUGCUAUUAGUGUGGACAGCGCGCUUAAUAAUAGUUCAACUAAUGUGCUUAAUAAUACCUUAAGCGCCGUCAUCGCCACCUCAUUUAAUUACAGUUAUGAGCAGGCACAAAACGCCACGCUACAACACUUUUUCGAUCUCGGUCCGACGCGCGACUCACUAAAAAUCGUCAUACCCGUGACGAUCAUUUACAGUUUGAUAUUCAUCAGCGGUGUCGUCGGCAACAUCAGCACCUGUAUUGUGAUCAAGAAGAAUCGCUCCAUGCACACCGCCACCAAUUACUACCUCUUCAGCUUGGCCAUAUCGGAUUUCCUGCUGUUGCUCUCCGGCGUGCCGCAAGAGAUGUACUUCAUCUGGUCCAAAUACCCGUAUGUCUUUGGUGAAUACUUUUGUAUUGGACGCGGCGUGUUGGCGGAGACUUCGGCGAAUGCAACGGUGCUGACCAUCACCGCUUUCACUGUGGAGCGUUAUAUGGCCAUAUGUCAUCCGUUUCUGGGACAGGCCAUGUCGAAAUUGAGUCGCGCCAUACGCAUUAUUGUGCUCAUCUGGCUGGUGUCGGUGUUGACGGCCAUACCCCAGGCGGCGCAAUUCGGCAUCAUCACGCUGAAUGGCAUCGAGAAGUGCAGCGUUGUGCGCAACAUCAUUCAACACUCAUUUCAGUUGUCCACCUUCAUUUUCUUCUUCGCUCCAAUGUCUAUAAUAUUGGUUUUGUAUUUGCUGAUCGGUUUGCGUUUGCAUCGCUCGAAUUUGAUGGGCGCCACUGGUGAGGCGGGCGGUAGCGGUGGCGGGCGUCGCGGUUUCGGCUGUAUCAGCACUAGCGUGAGCGCUGUAAAUGGUCGCGCAAGAGGUGGCACAGGGAGCAGCAGCGGCGGUGGCGGCGUCGUUAGCAAUGGGAGCGGGAAUGGCAGUGGUCGCCUGUCCUACGGUGGCGCUGGCGGUAGCGGCGUACGCGCUGGUGGUACACGCAAAGGUAGCGAUCGCAUGAGCGCUAAGGCAAGUACACAGAGCGAUACGAUGCUCUAUCGUUAUAUGGGUGGUAGCCAGUUGAGCGCCGUGCGCGGCCGUAUGAAUCACUAUGGAACGCGUCGUGUGAUAAAGAUGCUGGUCGCGGUUGUCAUAUGUUUCUUCUUGUGUUGGGCCCCCUUCCAUGCGCAACGUCUCAUCGCUGUUUAUGGUUUGAACGUUUGGGGUGGCAGCAGUGAGAGUGCCGCCGGCGGUGGGGAGCAUGAUGAGGCCGCUGCAGAUGAUAAGAAUCAUCAUGUGGUGAUAUACACCGUUAUGACCUAUGUGUCGGGAGUGCUUUAUUACCUGUCGACAUGCAUCAAUCCGCUGUUGUAUAAUCUGAUGAGCAACAAGUUUCGGCAGGCAUUCAAGUCGAUUUUACUACGCAAGAAAACAAAUGGUUCGCUCAAUUAUCGACGCACUCAGCAAUCCCAGAAUUUACGCCGUAAUCCUACACUCACUUCGAGCACUCAGCGUGAAUCGAGUGACACGGAUCCACAUUCGAAGCAUUCAAUGUUGCAGGCCGUGUUGACUGAGCGAAACGGGAACAAUAAAAUAAUGCCAUAAACUGGAGAGUUAUAUAUAUAUUUAAGCGUACCUACCUACAUAUAUAUGUUUAUGUAUCUGACAUGAUACUGUCAAAAUACUAGAAGAUAUCAUAGAGUACAAUGGUUUGGAAACCUCAAAAGUCGCAGGAUAUAUGAACCCUAUUCAAAGUGAUUAUAAGGCUACUGACUUUGAACGCUCAUGAGCAAGCACAUGUGGAAGUACUUAAAACUGGAUACUUAUUUAAUUACUGAAUUCAGCAAACAGACAACAACUUAGUAAUUUAAUUCAUUUAUUAUAUGCAGUACUUAUUCACAGCUAUUUAUAUGUAUUUAUUACUAUACAUACCAUUGUACGUAUAUACAUAUUUAAGUGUGUAAUUAGAAACUUAUUGAGAAUUUAUACCCUUUACCGUUAGUCAUAAAAAAAACAACUGUUAACCAUUACUUGGUGUAAAUAUAUUCUUGCCUGUUGUUUAAAAUGUUUCAUAAAAUCUUGCUUUAAAGAAAAAAUAAUAAUUAUUUAGAUUUUUAAUCGCUUCGGAUUACAAAAAUAUGAUAUAUAUAUUCCAGUAAUUUUGUUAUAAGAAAAUUCUACAAAUACAACAAGUUAUAUAUAAUUUAAUAAAGCUUUAAUCGCUAGUCAUUAGCAACGCAUACUUAAAAUGGAUGCCAAAUUGCCUUAACUAAAUUAAACUUGACGAUGUGAAAAUCAAUGGGUUACAAACUAAUUUAUCAAUCUCAGUAAAUUAAUGUGCAUAUAUGUAUGAACUUAGAUAUUAUUUAUAAUUAAUAUGUGAAUAUCAGGAAGAAUAUAUGUUUGUUUACUUCUAAAGAAGCGCUGGCCGAGUGAAUAACUCGUAUAUUAAGUUUAAUGAGCAUAAUUAUUUUUUAAUCGCCACUUUUAUCCUUGUUAAUUUAACCUCAUAACUGUAGGUCAUAGAGUUCUGAACACCUUUCUGUUAACAUUUCAUAACCAACGAUCUCAUACCGAACCCGGUGUGAACCCGAACUGGUAUUAAUUUCUGUUCAACGAAUUCGACAGUUGACAUCAGUCAAGCGUAUGUUUGAUUUUUGAAUGAAAAGAGAGAGAAAAUUAUUUUGACAUGGAGAGUCAUAAAUAUUUUAAGCCAACUUCAAACAAUUGUUGGAUUUUAAAAGUAUAAAAAAUUUCACCAAUGAUUUUGGAUUUUUGUGAAUUUUUUAUUUGUCUGUUUGGGUCUUAACAUACCAGGAAUAUUCAGAUAAAUAAAAUAAACAUAUAUAUCCUUAAGUAAUUAUGAUAAGGAAAGCUGAUAGCUUGUUGAAUUAUAUGAUUUCAAAUAUUUAUAUAUUAGAGAGUACCAAAUCGAACAAACAACUGGUAUAAACUGGCAUAAUGAAAUGGAGAAAAUAUAUCCAACAUUUAUACCACUUUAAAGAGUUAUAAAUUUACUGUAUUAUUUUGAGUUCAGCUGAAUAAAAAUAUAGUUUAUGCCGAAUACCAUUUUUAUGGCAAGGUAAGCAACAAUUGAAAAUAAAUAAUUUAAAAAAAUAAUCUCACACAAAAAGCACUUUGAAUGUAAUUUUAUUAACCAAAUUAUCAUACUGCAUUAAUUUACUGUAAGGUUAUAUACUUUUCAUAUACAUACAUACAUAAAUAUAUAAUAGUCAAAAUCGAGGUCAAAAUUAAAUAAAUAAAAUAUUAUUUUGUAAGUCUCUGGCUCCAUUAUUAUUGUUAUGUCAUUCUCUAGUAAUUUCUAUGGCUUCACUUAUUCCUGCAAUAAUUUAUUGCCAAAUUUGCAUAUGACACAGUUAACUUUAAGUAAAUGUAACCUCACACACGCACACAUC